rnacentral:rRNA from 1 species
AGUGAAAUAAAAUUAUUAGUUUGUUAUUAAAUAAAAUAUUAAAUGUUAAGUCAUUAAAUUUAUAAGAUUUGGCGGUAUUUUAAUUUAAUUAGAGGAAUCUGUAAUUUAAUUGAUGAUCCACGAUAAGAAUAACUUAAUAUUAUAAUUUAUGUAUUGCUGUUUUAAAAAUUUUAUUAAGUAAAAUUUUUUAAUUAAAAUUUUAAUUUAAUUCAAGUCAAAAUAUAGUUUAUUUAAGAAAUUUAUGGAUUACAAUUUUAAUUAAUAAUGGAUAAUUUAAUUUAAAUUAAAUUUUAAAUUGGAUUUAAUAGUAAAUUUAAUAAAUUAAUUAAAUUGAAAUUUUUUUAAAAUAUGU